UAAUUAGAUUUCCUCGGCAGUUAACUGCAGCCGGAUUUCUAAAACAUCGGCAGUUAACUGCCGAGGGG
rnacentral:pre_miRNA from 1 species